GGAGAAGCAGUUAAAAUUUACUACGGAGCCGUGAACUCGAAAUAUAAAGUUCAAAUCAGUCCAAGCGUAAAUAUAUCGUUAAUGAAUUCACAUCUAAAAAGUCAGAUGCUACGAGCAGAUAUAGGGAGGAGUCACAUCCCGACGUACAUAUUAUACAAGUGCUGCGUGCAUAUAAAGUAGUGAAAACAAGAACAAGAACAAGAUGAACAACAACGAUAAUAGUAGGAUCAGCAACAUAUAAAGAGACAUAAAGGAAGAAAGAGAACAAGAUUUUAAAAAUUUGAAUAAAGGAAGAAAAGAACGAUUAUCUAGAAUUUACGAUGAAAAUGAUAGUUAAAUAGCUGAAUAGGAAGAAGAAGAAGAAGAAGAAGAAGAAGAAGAAGAAGAAGAAGAAGAAGAAGAAGAAGAAGAAG